CAGGAAUAGGCCUGUAUCGAACUCGGAGAAGAAAACUUCCAAUGGUGGUGGACGUAGCCGAACUGGUUCAAAAUCAUCUCAGAACAGGAAUAGGCCUGUAUCGAAUUCGGAGAAGAAAACUUCCAAUGGUGGUGGACGACGGACCUCACCUGAAAAUGUGUCAUGGAAUGUGCUGGAUCUGAAGAAGGAGAAUUACUUCUCUUGUGCAGUUGGCAGGACUCGUACAAAUGCUCGGUAUUUGCUCAGUACACCUGACGACGUUGUUGCUUUUCUAAAGGAAUUAGCUGAAGAAUCUAUCUCAAAUGCGCCAUUAUGAAAAGGAUAAAUGAUGCUGGUUGCCUGAUGAUGUUGUUGCUUUUCUAAAGGAAUUAGCUGAAGCAUCUUUCUCAAAUGCGCCAUUAUGAAAAGGAUAAAUGAUGCUGGUUGCAUCAAGUGAUGAAGGAUCAGUACCAAGUUUUUGAUUGAGGAGAUUUGUAUGGAGGAUAUUGAGCAACGUUUAUUCCUGAUUUGCGUUGGAUAUAUAGAUAUCUGGAUUCAAUAUUCUACAAAGUAAAGAAAUAACCUUUCUGCUAGCUAAUAAUGGCUCCCUCUGUUUCUCUUCCGACCCGUAUAUGUUUUUGCCCGUUGGAUUAUCACUUAGAACUUUAACAUACAUAUUGAGCAGUUCAAAAUCACAAGCACUUGUCAACAACUCACAAUCAUCAUUUAUGGAGUUACUAAAAUAAGCUUCAAAGAGAAUUCUUUUAAUUUUUUUGUUGGUCAUUGUUUUGUUUUCUAAUGGUUAAUUUCAGUCUUCUAAAUGGGAAUUCUUAGAAAGGCAGAGAUAUAUUGGAAUAAUGAUAAAAAUAGUUAAGGCAAAUCUUAUCCCUUGCUUAUGGUGUAUAAAAGAGCAGUUGAGCUCACGUUGACUCUCUUUAAGGGUUGCUUGAAUGGAGAGAUCUGGUUUCAUGUUUCUUAUUCACAAGAUAAAAUCAUUGCGCACCUAUUAGGUUUUACAUAUAUGAAAAUUUGAACUACUUAAAUCUUAAUGCUUCUAUCCUAAUUAUAGUGAUGUCAAAAUGGCUAAAAGAAAAUAAUUAUCC
rnacentral:lncRNA from 1 species